GUCUUCAGGGCAGGGUGAAAUUCCCGACCGGCGGUGAAAGUCCGCGAACUUCAGCAAUGAGGUUGAACCGGUGGAAAUCCGGUACCGACAGUAGAGUCUGGAUGAGAGAGGACA
rnacentral:ncRNA from 1 species